rnacentral:rRNA from 1 species
AUUGAACGCUGGCGGCAGGCCUAACACAUGCAAGUCGAACGGUAACAGGAAGAAGCUUGCUUCUUUGCUGCCGAGUGGCGGACGGGUGAGUAAUGUCUGGGAAACUGCCUGAUGAGGGGGAUAACUACUGGAAACGGUAGCUAAUACCGCAUAACGUCGCAAGACCAAAGAGGGGGACCUUCGGGCCUCUUGCCAUCGGAUGUGCCCAGAUGGGAUUAGCUUGUUGGUGGGGUAACGGCUCACCAAGGCGACGAUCCCUAGCUGGUCUGAGAGGAUGACCAGCCACACUGGAACUGAGACACGGUCCAGACUCCUACGGGAGGCAGCAGUGGGGAAUAUUGCACAAUGGGCGCAAGCCUGAUGCAGCCAUGCCGCGUGUAUGAAGAAGGCCUUCGGGUUGUAAAGUACUUUCAGCGGGGAGGAAGGGAGUAAAGUUAAUACCUUUGCUCAUUGACGUUACCCGCAGAAGAAGCACCGGCUAACUCCGUG